CCUUCAUUUCAGAAAAUUUUGCCCAAAACUUUCAAAAUCUCCCAACCCAAACACUCAGGCCUCAGCCCACCGCCGUCCACGCAUCGCAGCAACCUCCAAGCACCGGUGACCACGCCGACCCAACCUCCUGCGACUUCAGAUCUGGUUUUCACCCAAAAAUCCUUCUCGCCAUCUCCAUCUUCCCUCUCCCCUGCCCAACGCUGCCCAACGCCGGCCACAAACAGCACGGACCACUGUCGCCCACGACCAUGCCGACCACCCCGAGCAGGCCGCCGUUCCCGAAUCUCUCUACGGUCAGUCUCUCUCGCCGGAUCUCUCUCUCUCUCUCUCUCUCUCUCUCUCCAUGGCCGGAUCUCUCUCUCCAGAGCCGGACUAGUUUGUGGAGAUGCAGCAGUCACAACUGUUGAAUGGUGCUCUCACUGCUAAUAUCACAACUGAGCAAAUUCAAAAGUACCUGGACGAGAAUAAAGAGUUGAUUCUGGCAAUAAUGGAAAACUAAAACCUGGGAAAAUUCGUUGAACGUUGAGAACGUAAUUUGAGAACUACAUGAUUGGUGGGAUAGAGUGGAUGUAAUUAUGGACUGCUCUGCCUCAGGUGCCUUCUUGGAAGAACUGUUCUUUUGCUCUUCUUCACGGUGCUGUCUAUCCAUUCUGGUCAAGUUAGAUACUGAAAGAUCAGAAAGACAUAAUUGCAAACCAUUAACAUAAAACAGAGGAAACUCUUGGAGAACUGCAAUGAUAAGUAACACUAUAAUACAGCAUUAAGGCACACACAUAAAUGAUAAAGAAAUCUUUUCCAUAUAUUAUACACAUUUGCAUAUAAAACUGAGGUAAUUGCCUAGGCACUUAAAGCCAAUGUGAUGUAGCUCACAUGCAUUCACCAAGCGAGAAAGAAAGGCCUGACAUUAGCUAAAGGUGACUUCAAAUGGGUCUGCCGUAGUAAAUCUCAUUUUCCAUGCACUUCAUUCUGAAUAGAAUUUCUAAAAAGUAAAUACCUUCAAGUGUUUUAUGGGAGUGGAUUAAUUUAGAAUACUUUA